rnacentral:rRNA from 1 species
AUUGAACGCUGGCGGCAGGCUUAACACAUGCAAGUCGAACGGUAACAUGAAGAAGCUUGCUUCUUUGAUGACGAGUGGCGGACGGGUGAGUAAUGCUUGGGAAUCUAGCUUAUGGAGGGGGAUAACUACGGGAAACUGUAGCUAAUACCGCGUAGAAUCGGGAGAUGAAAGUGUGGGACCUUCGGGCCACAUGCCAUAGGAUGAGCCCAAGUGGGAUUAGGUAGUUGGUGAGGUAAAGGCUCACCAAGCCGACGAUCUCUAGCUGGUCUGAGAGGAUGACCAGCCACACUGGGACUGAGACACGGCCCAGACUCCUACGGGAGGCAGCAGUGGGGAAUAUUGCGCAAUGGGGGCAACCCUGACGCAGCCAUGCCGCGUGAAUGAAGAAGGCCCUUCGGGCUUAAAA